rnacentral:ncRNA from 12 species
CUUUACUGAGGGUAGAAACACUGAGCCUUCUUUUAUAAACGCAUGGUCGGCUCAGCACUAGGCCAGCGGGCCGUCGAGGCAUCUACCGCACCCAACUCCAGGGUAUAAAGAGAUGUGGGACACGCCGCCCCACCAGUAAUU